rnacentral:rRNA from 1 species
GAUGAACGCUGGCGGCGUGCCUAAUACAUGCAAGUCGAGCGAACAGACGAGGAGCUUGCUCCUCUGACGUUAGCGGCGGACGGGUGAGUAACACGUGGAUAACCUACCUAUAUGACUGGGAUAACUUCGGGAAACCGGAGCUAAUACCGGAUAAUAUAUUGAACCGCAUGGUUCAAUAGUGAAAGACGGUUUUGCUGUCACUUAUAGAUGGAUCCGCGCUGCAUUAGCUAGUUGGUAAGGUAACGGCUUACCAAGGCAACGAUCCGUAGCCGACCUGAGAGGGGGAUCGGCCACACUGGAACUGAGACACGGUCCAGACUCCUACGGGAAGCAGCAGUAGGGAAUCUUCCGCAAUGGGCGAAAGCCUGACGGAGCAACGCCGCGUGAGUGAUGAAGGUCUUCGGAUCGUAAAACUCUGUUAUUAGGGAAGAACAAAUGUGUAAGUAACUAUGCACGUCUUGACGGUACCUAGUCAGAAAGCCACGGCUAACUACGUG